rnacentral:rRNA from 1 species
UACGUAGGGUGCAAGCGUUAAUCGGAAUUAUUGGGCGUAAAGGGCUCGUAGGCGGUUUGUCGCGUCGGGAGUGAAAACACUGGGCUUAACUCAGUGCUUGCUUCCGAUACGGGCAGACUAGAGGUAUUCAGGGGAGAACGGAAUUCCUGGUGUAGCGGUGAAAUGCGCAGAUAUCAGGAGGAACACCGGUGGCGAAGGCGGUUCUCUGGGAAUGUCCUGACGCUGAGGAGCGAAAGUGUGGGGAGCGAACAGG